GUUCUCUGUUUGCAGCUUUGUUGUAUUAGUCCUAUGGGACGUUGCAAAUGACAAAGCCAGCAAUUGAAGCAACUUCUUACUUGCAGGAAGUCUCGUUUGGCUACUUGGUGAUACAGGACAGCUUAAUGAUGACAGGCGAAGAGGGUAUGGUUUUCUGUGAUCUUAUUGUUGGGAAAAGCAAUAUCUUCACCUUGGCAAUGGUUUCAUGUGGAAACAGAUUAUUUUGACCACUCUGGAUCUCCCAGAUAUAUUUUCGAAGAGGUAUGGGUAAUGAUUAAAUUGUUCCUCUAGACGACUCAUCAAAACAACUUGUGGACGUAAUGUCACAAUACUCUUGUGGGUGAUUGCACUUGGUGCGAUGAUAUUACACGGUGAAGCUGCGUUGGUUCUUUUGUACAACAAACACCAAGGUUGUGGAACGUACAAUCAUUGAGUAUUUCUGACAUAAAAAGAGCAACUGAAAUAUCCUUGAAGAAACACUAAUGAUGAUCCACAAAUACGCAUGACAUUAGCACUCCAUGAGAUAUUUUUGAGGCAAACAUCCACAAAAUGGUUUAAAUGCUGAGGUCACGUUCAGUGGUUGGCAAACAAUUGAAAUUUAACCCGAAUUAUUUGGAUCAAGUUCACGUACACCCUCUGCCAAAAUAUUUCACAUGGAGUUAGCCAUAGAAUUUCAAUUGACAAAACAACCAAAAUGUUAUUCUUUUUAAAAAUUUUAAUUUUCUUUUAUUUCAUAUCUCUUUUUAGUAUGAAAUGCACCAGUCGGGGAAUAUAUAUGUAUAU